ACAAAAGGCAGUGACCAGAAAAAAGUUGUCAAAAAGCAACUCGAUUAAUUAGGGAAAUAAUGCAAGCGAAAUGCUUUUAUCUUGUUCUUUUUAGAAUGCAAUUACAUUUGAAAUUCCGCUGUUUUAACUUUCCCAUAUGCUCCUUCAAAGGAACCACCUUGUGCGCUUUUGGCCAGAGUUAAAUAUAUUUUUCCUGUUUUUACUCACGCUUAAUGCAUUUGGCAAAUCUAGUUAGUUGCUGCCGGCGAGAGCAAUUCUUGCUCCAUUUCCACAGCGGAACUCGGCAGCUCAACCAAGCAGGAAUCACGGGUCCAGGGGGCUAAGGCUAUAAGUCUAGGCAAAAACUAUUUACGACUGCUACACGACUUCAGUGGGUCGGACACAACCUUGCCGGCGGCUUAGUUAUUUACAUUUGGCGGAGGAGCAGCACCAGAGCCCCCGAAUCCCAGAACCCCAGGACCCCACCCCACCCACACCUUCUACACCUUCGGUUUUAUCUGGGAAAGUGCGCCAUUUCGUGCACCUUUCAACGCUGCCAGGAUGAGAGGAUGCUUCAUCAGCCGCCGAAUGCUUCUGCUUUUCCCAACGGACGGCAUCAAUCGCUUCCAAAAUAACCGGCAGCUGAUUGUUUCUUGCCGGGUUUGUUAAAGCAUGGAGAGAAAUUCUUAGACCCGUCAGAUAAUUUAAGUUUAAGCUACUAACUUCAUUUGUUAAUAUAUCAGUGUAUAUAAUAAAUAUG